GGAUAUAGCUCAGUUGGUAGAGUACUUGCCUCUGCAUGCACAAGGCCCUGGGUUCAAUCCCCAGCACCA
rnacentral:tRNA from 1 species